UGGGGAAUAUUGCGCAAUGGGGGGAACCCUGACGCAGCCAUGNCGCGUGAAUGAAGAAGGCCUUCGGGUUGUAAAGUUCUUUCGGUAUUGAGGAAGGUUGAUGUGUUAAUAGCACAUCAAAUUGACGUUAAAUACAGAAGAAGCACCGGCUAACUCCGUGCCAGCAGCCGCGGUAAUACGGAGGGUGCGAGCGUUAAUCGGAAUAACUGGGCGUAAAGGGCACGCAGGCGGUUAUUUAAGUGAGGUGUGAAAGCCCCGGGCUUAACCUGGGAAUUGCAUUUCAGACUGGGUAACUAGAGUACUUUAGGGAGGGGUAGAAUUCCACGUGUAGCGGUGAAAUGCGUAGAGAUGUGGAGGAAUACCGAAGGCGAAGNNAGCCCCUUGGGAAUGUACUGACGCUCAUGUGCGAAAGCGUGGGGAGCAAACAGGAUUAGAUACCCUGGUAGUCCACGCUGUAAACGCUGUCGAUUUGGGGGUUGGGGUUUAACUCUGGCGCCCGUAGCUAACGUGAUAAAUCGACCGCCUGGGGAGUACGGCCGCAAGGUUA
rnacentral:rRNA from 1 species